rnacentral:tRNA from 2 species
GGGGCCGUAGCUCAGCUGGGAGAGCGCCUGCUUUGCAAGCAGGGGGUCACCGGUUCGAACCCGGUCGGCUCCACCA